GAACGGUUGGCUCAGUUGGAAGAGCGCUCGCAUGGCUCGCGAGAGGUCGCGGGUUCGAGUCCCGCGUCGUUUA